AUCGUUGAUGAAGAUGAGAUGAUUGUUUUAUCUUGAAUGGUUUAGAUUUCAAUUAUAAUCCUGUCAUAUCUUCCAUUCUUGGUCGAACUGACCCCAUCCUCAUGAGCGAUCUUUAUGCUCAACUAUUGUCUUAUGAGA